GUGGGGAAUUUUGGACAAUGGGCGCAAGCCUGAUCCAGCCAUGCCGCGUGCAGGAUGAAGGCCUUCGGGUUGUAAACUGCUUUUGUACGGAACGAAAAGACUUCUUCUAAUACAGGAGGUCCAUGACGGUACCGUAAGAAUAAGCACCGGCUAACUACGUGCCAGCAGCCGCGGUAAUACGUAGGGUGCAAGCGUUAAUCGGAAUUACUGGGCGUAAAGCGUGCGCAGGCGGUUAUAUAAGACAGAUGUGAAAUCCCCGGGCUCAACCUGGGAACUGCAUUUGUGACUGUAUAGCUAGAGUACGGUAGAGGGGGAUGGAAUUCCGCGUGUAGCAGUGAAAUGCGUAGAUAUGCGGAGGAACACCGAUGGCGAAGGCAAUCCCCUGGACCUGUACUGACGCUCAUGCACGAAAGCGUGGGGAGCAAACAGGAUUAGAAACCCGAGUAGUCC
rnacentral:rRNA from 1 species